rfam:Homo sapiens chromosome 1, GRCh38 reference primary assembly.
GCAUAGGUGGUUCAGUGGUAGAAUUCUUGCCUGCCACGCAGGAGGCCCAGGUUUGAUUCCUGGCCCAUGCA